CCUACGGGUGGCAGCAGUGAGGAAUAUUGGUCAAUGGGCGUAAGCCUGAACCAGCCAAGUCGCGUGAGGGAUGAAGGUUCUAUGGAUCGUAAACCUCUUUUAUAAGGGAAUAAAGUUUGGGACGUGUCCUGUUUUGUAUUUACCUUAUGAAUAAGGAUCGGCUAACUCCGUGCCAGCAGCCGCGGUAAUACGGAGGAUCCGAGCGUUAUCCGGAUUGAUUGGGUUUAAAGGGAGCGUAGGCGGCCUUUUAAGUCAGCGGUGAAAGUCUGUGGCUCAACCAUAGAAGUGCAGUUGAAACUGGGCGGCUAGAGUAUUGUUGAGGCAGGCGGAAGGCGUGGUGUAGCGGUGAAAGGCUUAGAUAUCACGAAGAACACCGAUUGCGAAGGCAGCCCGCCGAGCAAUGACUGACGCUGAGGCACGAAAGCGUGGGGAUCAAACAGGAUUAGAUACCCGGGUAGUC
rnacentral:rRNA from 1 species